ACAGGUUGGGAGGAACGAAGGAGAAGCAGAUAGAGGAGAUCCACUCACAGGAUUCUGCGUUGUUGAUUUGUGUGUGGAAGUAUCGUGGGUUUUGCCUGCCUCCAUUGUUGCUCGUCUGCUGAAAUACGUUGGAAUCUUUGCCACGGUGCCUGUCUCUCUGUGCUCAGGUUUAUUGGAGCUCUCAGGUUGUACCCCAGCAGGCCCCUCUUCAGGUCCAGCGGGUUCUCUGCCCUCUAUAGUCCUGCCUAACCCCAUCCCUGACUUUAUUAAGCCAUCGUCCAGCCCUCCCCAGCCCUCCCCCUCUCCCCAGCUCCUCCAGCGGGCAGUAUGAAGUGGGUAAGAGCCCCACAAGGCCCCACAAAGGCCCCCAGCCCAGCAAAGCCGUACAGGAAGACGAAAUGAUCAGUAACAAGGCAAAAGACUCCGGUGGGCGGACAUGUUGAAGUGAAGUUGUGGCUGACUCCUCCCCAACACCGGACGCGGGCCAAUCAGCGCUCACCGUUGCCUACGUCACAGCCUCUUGACCAAUAAACGAGCUGGGACACUCAUAUCACCUCCCGCUGCAGGACAGGGACAACAGGCGAGUGUGGCAGGCCAUCAACUGGAAGGGCUGUUCACAGGAUGAUAAUGAUAAUAAAGUUAAGCCUAUUGAUGAAGAAUUUAAGCAUUUUUACGAAGAUUUACUAGGCAUUGCCACAAGCAACCGUGCUGAUCAAUGCCGAGAUGUUACUGUGUCGAUUCCAGUUUUAGACGAUCUGAUCUCCCCUGGUGAGGUCAGUGCCCAGGUGGAUCACAUCAAGGCAGACGAAGCGUGUGGCCCGGACGGCAUCCCACCUGGAGUGUUCAAGCUGUUACCAGUUCAGUGGUUAAUGAUUAUCACAACUGUUCAGUACGAUAUUUGCCACCGCUCAGCACCCUACGUCCUGGACUAGGGCUAAGUUUUCCACUAUAUUCCAGAAGGGUGACCGGAAAGACACACAGAGGACACAAAGAACCAUAGAGGCAUUAGUGUAAUAAACAGCAUUGCUAAAUUAUUUGAUAUGUUUGUAUGUUCAAAAUUAGAGAAGUGGCUCACUCCGUACCGUGAACAAGCUGGGGCACAGAACAG